GGAGUGGUGGCCUCAGUCAGUCCCAAAAUGCACCAAAAAUGCACCGUCGAGGGUAAGCUACUGUUGCGCAUACGAAGGACGCGGGUUCAAUUCCCGCCAGCUCCACCA
rnacentral:tRNA from 1 species